UACGUAGGGCGCAAGCGUUGUCCGGAAUUAUUGGGCGUAAAGAGCUCGUAGGCGGUCUGUUGCGUCCGCUGUGAAAACUCGGGGCUUAACCCCGAGCCUGCAGUGGAUACGGGCAGACUAGAGGUAGGUAGGGGAGAAUGGAAUUCCCGGUGUAGCGGUGAAAUGCGCAGAUAUCGGGAGGAACACCGGUGGCGAAGGCGGAUCUCUGGGCCUUACCUGACGCUGAGGAGCGAAAGCGUGGGGAGCGAACAGG
rnacentral:rRNA from 1 species